AUCUUAUUAUACCGAGUUGAUAGUAAAAUAAAUAACUUUUACAGUGAGUUAGAGAAAACAUGGAGUGAAACCCAAGAACACAAGUUAACUGGCUUUGCGAAGAAUCACAGGUUCAUUAUUCAAAGUUUGAACAUGAGACAAGCUUGAUUUGUUUAUUUUAUUUAAAUGCUGAUCAUUUAGAUUUUCUAAGGCUUCUCUCUUCUCCCCAGAUGUCUUUAAUUUGUCAUCGGUCCUCUGACCCAAACAACCACGUGGUUCUGCUGUACGAUAACAACAAUGAAAAAGGUCACCUGUAUAUGGGGAAUGAUACAUCUCCACUCUGCAAUUACACCUCCCCUCCUCCACUCUCCUGUGUGGUGUGUUUCGAGCAGUUUGUCUACACCGUUUGCUCCGACCUGCAGAAGAACGUAACACUGGUGAUGGAGGGAAGUGGAAAACCAAUGGAUCUUAUAAAGAGCGAGUGCCCCACCCUUCUUGGUAAUGCCACAAAUGAAAAUGCUGACUUGCCUGUAAACCACGCGGGUGCUUGGGAAUGGUGGAUGAUCCUCCUCCUCGUCCUCCUCGUCCUCCUCAUCCUCGCCGUCAUCAUUUCCGCUUUGGUGAUUUACUGCAGACGAGGACAGACUGCAGUCAACUUCCGGCAGGUGAACUCUGAAGCUGAAGCUGAAACUGCAGUGUAAAUGUUCACCUCUCCCUUUCUACAGCAGUUUUUUAAUUUAAACAUGAAUUAUCUAUACAUUUUAUUAAAAAAAUAAUGAACUGGAGAAUCAUACUUGAUGUACAUAUAUUUAAUUUAUAUUUAAAGUGUGAUCUUUUUUCAUUGUUGCUUCAUUAUUAUAACUUUACAUUUUCCAUACAUUCAUGCAAAAUCAGUCAAGUCGGUCAAGUAUACCAUUUCUAUUUAAAUUUGAAACAAACAAAUCUAAAAAUGUAAACAAAAAACAUAAUUAGACAUUACGGUAUAAAAAUUUAAAUAUUUUAUCAGUAUCUUUAAAAAACAUGACACAUGGAACAUUUUUAUUAAUGUCCUCAAUUAAGAGACAAUUUAGUUUGAAUUUAAAUCAAAAUGCCACACAGCGUUUUCAGACGACGCAAUAGGUCAUCAUAUUUUACUAAUGGGCAAACAAAGCCUCAUGGGAGUUGUAGUUGUGAAAUUAUUGUUUUGUUUUAUUCUCAUUGAAAUGAAUGGGAUGCUCUAAUUCUUUCAUUAUUGACAAUAGAAAUUAACUUUCACAUGAAGUAGAACCAUUUGGCAAGGUCUAAGAGAGGCCACUAAAAGCUACAGAUUUAUGAUGUUUGGAUAAAAACCAAUGUCACACACUUCAGUUUAUUAGGCACGCUACGCUAAAACUGAUGCCAUCUACAGUGUCAAGAAAAAAGACAAUGAACCCUCAUUUAUGCAUAAUUCAUCCUUAAAAGGUGAUUGGACCUUCAAAGUCACUAUAAUACACACAUACACUAUGUAAACUAAUAACACUCAAACUAUUCUUUUUUAAUUAAGAUAUGUAUGAAAUAAUCUCAAGAUUCAAAAAAUCCAAAUAGGAAAAAGCAUGUGACCAUUCUUCACAAAUUAAAAGAAAAGUAAAUGAGUUGCAUAUAUAUUAGUUAUAGUAAGUGACCAGUUGUGCCUUGUUCUGUACAAAACACAUACAAAAUAUUGGUGACUGACAAUCAUCUCUUCACAAGCUAAUGUGAACCAUCCCUCAUCCAUAUGCUCUUUUAUGUAUUUUAUUUAUUCACAUUCGCCUUCAAACACAAUUCCAUCACAUGAGUUUCAGAUAUGCAUCUUUUUAUGUUUGUUUGAAAUACUUAAGAGAUUUGUGAGCAAAAACAGUGAAAACUAUGAUCUUUUCUUUACCAUACAUCCAAUAUUUGUAUUAUAUAUUCAACAAGUUUUACCAGCGUGACACAAAUAUUUCCAACGUAUGGUCAACAUAUGCUGUUAUCUUCUCCAUUGUACCAGCAAUAUUUUUAAUAAACAUGUCUUUUUUUAUAUAUAUAUUCUUGAGGUAUGGGUCCAAACAAUAAGGUACAACUCUCCAGGGGUCCAUGACAUCUGAAAAUAUUUUGUAAGGCAUUAUGUUUCCCACUGCAAAAAUCUUUAAUGACAGGGCAAUCCCAGAAAGCAUGCAUUUCAGCAAUAAGAAAAAUAUGAAGGCGACAAUGGUGCUGAUGGAAGGGCAGCAUGGAGAAUCACAGUUACACUUCACAGGGUUUACGCCAGCCAGUCCUUCAAAAUGACGCCAUAUCCUGACCCUGAUUCAGAGGGGCCCCUGGCCGAGCAUCCGUUUUAUUACAGAAGGGGUUGUGCUCUACAUCAGGGAGGAGAGGGCCCCUCCUGUACACCACCAUCACCCUCGACCAACCUACUGGCAGGGCUGCAAGAGAGGCCGUAACGCAACAAUUAUUUUUGUUAAAACACAAACAGGCCUUUCUUCUUUUCAUUCACAAGUCUUUAUUUCUUAUAUUUUGUCCCCCCAUUCCUGAGAAAAGGGAAAAGGUUUACUUUUAGUUGACUUGUUUCCCAAGGAUAAAAAGGGAAAUGCAUUGGUUUACUUGAUGAAAAGGAAAUACCUGGAAAUAAAUAAUUUUACUGAAUUAGCUUCUUUUUGUGUUCUAAUUUCUCCACCUCCAGUUAGGCUUUCCUCAUUAAUAUUUUUUUAUAUAUUCAAUAAUAAAGUGAUAAUAUUUCCAUGUCUAAUUCCAGGGUCCAUCUUUAUAUAAGCAUGAGGUGCGCAUAUAAAAAUGGUCUGCUCCAACCUGAUACAAAUAAAACGCGUGAUAUGAGUUGCUUUAACGUUAAGCAAAGCUCACUUGAAGAAAGGUGCACAUGUCACAUGGACUUUAAAUGAAGAUUCAUUUAUUACUUCUUAUGAUCCUCUUGGCCUGGACGUGGAGGCCACAGGCUCAGGGGGAGGAAGGUUUCCCCCUCCCUGCAAAAUUAUCAAAGCAAUUAAUUCAUUUUAAGAUAGAGAGCAGUUCAUGCAGUGAACAGUCCCACGUGCAGACCACCACCAUUAGCAAGUCAUUUAGGACAAAUUGAAGUGUCCUAAUUGUGCUUUUGUAUACCGUUAUCAUCCUACAAGAGAUUGAUUGCACUAAAGCCUUGUACUUGUUUUACUAAUAAGAUAUGAAAAAAGCCUACUUAUCACUUUGAAUUGUUUAUAUUUUUAUUUUCUCCCAAGUCCUUGGAGGAUCAGACUAAAAUAGUCUUAUACGCCAUGUAUACAACACAUUAAUUAAAUGGAUGUCCUAGAUGGGCAUUGAUAUAAGAUUAAACAAAAGAAGAUCAUUUAUCUGUGAGUGCCUUUAUAUCACUGCUGUGCACACAUGCGCUGCCGUUGUUCAUCUUAUAACCCUACUUCCGCAUUCUUCCUGCAUCUGGCAGCUGCGAUUGUGUUGCUUUUAGCCUGAUAUUCUGCAUUCCUCUGUAGUAUUAUAGUUUGCUCUUCGUUUGUAAAAGACGACGCUCCCACGUGUCCAUGUUUGAGUUUGUUGCUGUGUCGCUCUUGAGAUGCAAGUCAUCACUAGAUAGAGAAACCCUGUCUGGCUGUUAACCACCAUCGUGCGACCGUUCAGCCUGGUUGCUGUCGUUCCGGUUAGUUAAGCCACAUAACGAAAAGAUAUGUUGACCUCGCUUCGUAGUGAAGACUUUAGGUGAGGCCUCCAUUACAGCACAGGGCUGUCAAUUCCUCCAGAUUUGUGCAUAUAAUGUACAGAAGACAAGCUUUGUGGCCAUCACUGGACUCACCGAUGUAGAUGGUGUUAUCGAUCAGAUGUUUAAUUAUUAAAUCACUUCACCAGGAAAAGAUAAAGAUGUCAAAGACAAAUGAAGAAACGUUUUCAAAUACUUGAAUCCACAUUUAUUGGCACGGUUAUCUUCUUUUUCUCCAAUAAAUGCCGAAAGCGAUGACGAGGAUGAUGGAGACGAUGAUGACGGAGACGAUGAUGACGGGAAUCAGCCAUUGUAAAGCACCUGUCAGACACAGACAGCAGCAGUGAGACAUGAGGAAGGCAGGGCUGGAAAUGGUUUGAUUCUUAGGUCAUAACACUAAAAAACAAACAGAUGGACACAGAUUCCGUUCAACGUGAAACAUGGCCGUGCAUAACCACACUAACUAUACUUUCUCAUAGAAGACCUGGCAUUUUUUACUAAAAUAUAUAAUCCCAGCAUUACUCUUUCCAUUUCAUGAAUUAAAAGUGUUUACACCCUGGUGAUCUCACAUCAUAUGCUUAGCUCUAAAUCCAAAAGAGCAAUAUCUAUGAAUUCUGACUGAGAUUCACAUUAAAGAUAAAACAUAGCUUGGCAUUUUUGGUUUGUAAGUAGAUGCACAAACAAAAUGGCAACAACUGCUGAUUAAU
ensembl:lncRNA